AUGGCAACCUGGAAUGCUUCCAUUAUUUUCUUCUAGAGUUGGUUCGGCUCCAUCAUCGGAUAUAAAGAAAGACAAUUCUGGGGCAGUUGGAGGUGACCCCAAACCAUGUUGCAAUUGUUUGGGGAGAGAUACAAUUGCAAAUGCUGCCGCUAGGGUUGGUCCUGCUGUAGUAAAUCUUUCGGUUCCACAGGGGUUCUAUGGCAUUACUAAUG